AUGAACGCUGGCGGCGUGCCUAAUACCUGCAAGUCGAGCGAACGGACGAGAAGCUUGCUUCUCUGAUGUUAGCGGCGGACGGGUGAGUAACACGUGGAUAACCUACCUAUAAGACUGGGAUAACUUCGGGAAACCGGAGCUAAUACCGGAUAAUAUUUUGAACCGCAUGGUUCAAAAGUGAAAGACGGUCUUGCUGUCACUUAUAGAUGGAUCCGCGCUGCAUUAGCUAGUUGGUAAGGUAACGGCUUACCAAGGCAACGAUGCAUAGCCGACCUGAGAGGGUGAUCGGCCACACUGGAACUGAGACGCGGUCCAGACUCCUACGGGAGGCAGCAGUAGGGAAUCUUCCGCAAUGGGCGAAAGCCUGACGGAGCAACGCCGCGUGAGUGAUGAAGGUCUUCGGAUCGUAAAACUCUGUUAUUAGGGAAGAACAUAUGUGUAAGUAACUGUGCACAUCUUGACGGUACCUAAUCAGAAAGCCACGGCUAACUACGUG
rnacentral:rRNA from 1 species